AGGUUCGUCCGCCCUGGGUUAGUCGGGACCUAAGCUGAGGCCGAAAGGCGUAGGUGAUGGACAACAGGUUGAUAUUCCUGUACUACCGAUAACCGUUUGAGAGAAGGGAUGACACAAUAGGAUAAGCUAAGCACACUGUUGGUUAUGUGUGCCCAAGCAUUGAGGCAGUCAAAGCAGGCAAAUCCGCUUUGAUAAUGCUGGGAUGUGAUGGGGAGCGAAAUUUAGUAGCGAAGUAGCUGAUUUCACACUGUCAAGAAAAGUCUCUAUCGAGGUUAAAGGUACCCGUACCGCAAACCGACACAGGUGGGUGAGGAGAGUAUCCUAAGGCCAGCGAGAGAACUGUUGUUAAGGAACUCGGCAAAAUGACCCCGUAACUUAGGGAUAAGGGGUGCCACCAUCCGGUGGCCGCAGAGAAUAGGCCCAAGCGACUGUUUACCAAAAACAUAGGUUUCUGCUAAGUCGCAAGACGAUGUAUAGGAGCUGACGCCUGCCCGGUGCUGGAAGGUUAAGGGGAUCUGUUAGAGCAAUCGAAGCAGUGAACUUAAGCCCCAGUAAACGGCGGCCGUAACUAUAACGGUCCUAAGGUAGCGAAAUUCCUUGUCGGGUAAGUUCCGACCCGCACGAAAGGCGUAACGAUUUGGGCACUGUCUCAACAACAGACUCGGUGAAAUUGUAAUUCCGGUGAAGAUGCCGGAUACCUGCGACAGGACGGAAAGACCCCAUGGAGCUUUACUGUAGCUUGACAUUGGGUCUUGGUACUACAUGUACAGGAUAGGUGGGAGGCUUUGAAACCAGGACGCCAGUUUUGGCGGAGCCAUCCUUGGGAUACCACCCUUGUAGUACUGGGACUCUAACCAUAGGCCAUGAAUCUGGUCUUGGGACACUGUCAGGUGGGCAGUUUGACUGGGGCGGUCGCCUCCCAAAAGGUAACGGAGGCGCUCAAAGGUUCUCUCAGUACGGUCGGAAAUCGUACGUAGAGUGUAAAGGCAAAAGAGAGCUUGAUUGCAAGACAUACAGGUCGAGCAAGGAUGAAAAUCGGACUUAGUGAUCCGGUGGUUCUGCGUGGAAGGGCCAUCGCUCAACGGAUAAAAGCUACCCUGGGGAUAACAGGCUUAUCUCCCCCAAGAGUCCACAUCGACGGGGAGGUUUGGCACCUCGAUGUCGGCUCAUCACAUCCUGGGGCUGUAGUAGGUCCCAAGGGUUGGGCUGUUCGCCCAUUAAAGUGGUACGCGAGCUGGGUUCAGAACGUCGUGAGACAGUUCGGUCCCUAUCCGUCGCAGGCGUAGGAAAUUUGAGAAGACCUGUCCUUAGUACGAGAGGACCGGGAUGGACGUACCUCUGGUGUACCAGUUGUCCUGCCAAGGGCAUGGCUGGGUAGCUAUGUACGGAAUGGAUAAGCGCUGAAAGCAUCUAAGCGCGAAGCCAACUUCAAGAUAAGAUUUCCCACCGCAAGGGUAAGACCCCAGAAAGACUAUCUGGUUGAUAGGUCGAAGGUGUAAGUGCAGCAAUGUAUUUAGCUUAUCGAUACUAAUAGGUCGAGGACUUGACCAA
rnacentral:rRNA from 1 species